UCUUAGCUUUGGGAUUGAAAAUAAUUUACUUCUUUGCUAACUCAGCAACUCAGGUGGAAUGGGAAUGAAAAGAAUUUGUUUCUUUGCCAACUCAGUGACUCAGGUGGAAUGGGCAGAAGGUGGAAUGUAGGUCACCAUGGCAACCGGAUCAACGAGGUACCCCAGCUGGCAAGUCCUUGAGGCUGAGGUUCUACUGCUGGCAGACAGAAAGGUGUGGUUGGCAUGGGGCAAUGCUUGAGGUACCAGAUGCACUGGGAGGACCUGGAAGAGUACCAGGCCCUGACCUUCCUGACCAGAAAGGAAAUUCUGUGCAUCCAUGACACCUUCCUGAAGCUCUGCCCUCCUGGGAAGUACUACAAGGAGGCGACGCUCACCAUGGACCAGGUCAGCUCCCUGCCGGCUCUGCGGGUCAACCCUUUCAGAGACCGUAUCUGCAGAGUGUUCUCCCACAAAGGCGUGUUCUCCUUUGAGGAUGUGCUGGGCAUGGCAUCUGUGUUCAGCGAGCAGGCCUGCCCAAGCCUGAAGAUUGAGUACGCCUUUCGCAUCUAUGAUUUUAAUGAGAAUGGCUUCAUUGAUGAAGAGGAUCUGCAGAGGACCAUCCUGCGACUGCUGAACAGUGAUGACAUGUCUGAGGACCUGCUGAUGGACCUCACGAACCACGUCCUGAGUGAAUCGGAUCUGGACAAUGACAACAUGCUGUCCUUCUCAGAGUUUGAACAUGCAAUGGCCAAGUCUCCAGAUUUCAUGAACUCCUUUCGGAUUCACUUCUGGGGAUGCUGAUGUAGCGGCAAAUACCUGACGUGGCAGCCUCGAGGGAGACCACUGGAAUCGAACCCCCUCCAGCACUGGAGGGAGCUGGUUUGAAGAAAAAGGCAAGGAAGUGAAGCCGAGUGACUGCUGACAGGCCUGCUCACUGUAGGGAAGCUCACACAAAUCUGCCUUCAGACCCACCAUUGAAACGUGAACGUGUACGUCUAAGUUAAGGUCAUAUCAGAUCCUGCUGUUGCCAAAUCCAUUGUCCUUGGCUCACACUGUCCCACUGC